rnacentral:lncRNA from 1 species
UCGAGCGCGCACGUGUUACCGUAGCAUCGCGAGGAGGCCGGGCGAGGGAGUGUUUUCGUCGUUCUCGACGCCGUGCCGGAAUUGGAGUCGCUGGUUGAGGUGGGUAAUCUCUCAUUCCUCCAUGGAUUUCUUCUCUACUUCAAGCUUCAUUCAAUUCGAGCUUAAGUGCUGAUUCGCAGGAUCUUGUCGUCGACUGUUAGUAUUUCAGCUCGUACGCGACGUAGGAGCAUCGGAUUUCGACGAGAUUUGGUUCGUUGGAACCGGGACUUCGAGACGAAUCCAUAGGAUCCUUACUCACCCGAUUUGG